AGGUGCAUAGCUCAGUUGGUAGAGCACUGGACUUUUAAUCCAUUGGUCUUGGGUUCAAAUCCCAAUACACCUA
rfam:Nannochloropsis gaditana mitochondrion, complete genome.